CAAAAAUGAUGCAAGGGAAGGAACACCUCUCCUUAUGAGGACAGGCUGAGAGAGCUGGGUCUGUGCAGAUGGAGAAGGGAAAGGAAGGCUGUGUGAGGUGACCUGAGAGCAGCCUGUCAGUAUCUAAAGGGCAGUGACAGGAAAGAAGGAAAGAACUCUUUAUCAGGGUCUGAGGUGACAGAACAAGGGGAAAUGGCUUCAAGGUGAAAGAGGGGAGAUUUAGUUUGGAUAUAAGGAAGAAGUCUGUUACAGUGAGGGCGGUGAGGCACUGGCACAGGUUGCCCAGAGAUGUGGUUGAUGCCCCGUCCCUGGAGACCUUCGAGGCCAGGCUGGAUCAGGCCCUGGGCAACCUGAUCAAACUGUGGUGUCCCUGUGCACUGCAGGGAGUUGGACUGGAUGGCCCUCAGAGCUCCCUUCUAACUCUGAGGAUUCUAUGAUUCUAUGAUUCUAACAGUGGGCAUGGGUACAGGUGGCUCAGCACAGCAAUGGCCUUUGGGACAUGACCAGAGGAUUCAGCUCCUCACUCAGUGCUGCAUUUGACAGGACCCACUCUCAGAGCACACCAGGAGAGCACAACACGAGCCUGAUGUAUAAAUGAGGGCAGAGAAUGUAAGAACUACCAUGAUGUGAUGCUGGUGGCCAGAGAUAACAACUGCAGGUCAGCCCCAGACACUGAUGGGAAGGACCACCCAGAGGGAUCUCAGGCUUCCAGGACUUUGCUUAUUGAUGAGAAAGCAGCAGCUGUGUUCAGUAUCCGUGGCUGCCACAGGUGGUCUCAGUAGUGCUGACAUCUCAGAGGGACUCUUCUCUACGUGACCUCCUGAGUCACCAUUUGUUCCUUCUCCUUGUUCACAGCCUCUGCCACUGUCACUGAGGUUCAUCACGCAAGGAUUGAUUUUUCUUGCCCAGGCUUUAGCCAAAUCCUUGCUGCUUUUGUUAUUCACUACACCUGGAGAGGGGAAAGCCCCAUCUCCACCUGACCUCCCCACGCUCAGCUAGCUCAGCCUGCUGCUUGCUUCCCCAUGAGUCUUUCCACCUCUGGGAAACUGCCUACUAUUUGACAGUGGCUUCUGUGAGUUUAAUGACAAGAAAAACAGAAUAAAAACCCAACAUCUUUUAAAAUCCCUUUUUUA
rnacentral:lncRNA from 1 species